rnacentral:rRNA from 1 species
UGGGGAAUAUUGGACAAUGGGCGAAAGCCUGAUCCAGCCAUGCCGCGUGUGUGAAGAAGGUCUUCGGAUUGUAAAGCACUUUAAGUUGGGAGGAAGGGCAUUAACCUAAUACGUUAGUGUUUUGACGUUACCGACAGAAUAAGCACCGGCUAACUCUGUGCCAGCAGCCGCGGUAAUACAGAGGGUGCAAGCGUUAAUCGUAAUUACUGGGCGUAAAGCGCGCGUAGGUGGGUUGUUAAGUUGGAUGUGAAAUCCCCGGGCUCAACCUGGGAACUGCAUUCAAAACUGACUGACUAGAGUAUGGUAGAGGGUGGUGGAAUUUCCUGUGUAGCGGUGAAAUGCGUAGAUAUAGGAAGGAACACCAGUGGCGAAGGCGACCACCUGGACUAAUACUGACACUGAGGUGCGAAAGCGUGGGGAGCAAACA